AACGAACGCUGGCGGCGCGUCUUAACCAUGCAAGUCGAGCGGCAGGCAGCAAUGCCGAGGGCGGCGGACUGGUGAGUAACACGUGGAUAACGUACCCCGAUGUCCGGGACAGCCUGUAGAAAUAGAUGGUAAUACCGGAUAGAUCACUGUUUACGUGAGGUAGACAGCGGGAAAGGAGCUUCGGCUCCGCGACGGGAUCGGUCUGCGGCCCAUCAGCUGGACGGCGGGGUAAAGGCCCGCCGUGGCGAGGACGGGUAUCCGGCCUGAGAGGGCGGACGGACACAUUGGGACUGAGAUACGGCCCAGACUCCUACGGGAGGCAGCAGGUAAGAAUAUUCCGCAAUGGGGGGAACCCUGACGGAGCGACGCCGCGUGAACGAAGAAGGCCGGAAGGUUGUAAAGUUCUUUUCUGUCCGAGGAAUAAGUUUCGGAGGAAAUGCCGGGACGGUGACGGUAGGGCAGGAAUAAGCACCGGCUAAUUACGUG
rnacentral:rRNA from 1 species